rnacentral:rRNA from 1 species
UAAACUGGGAUUAGAUACCCCACUAUGCUUAGCCAUAAACCUCGAUGUUAAAUUACACAAACAUCCGCCAGGGUACUACGAGCACAGCUUAAAACCCAAAGGACUUGGCGGUGCCUCAGACCCACCUAGAGGAGCCUGUUCUAGAACCGAUAACCCCCGUUAAACCUUACCACCCCUUGUUUUUCCCGCCUAUAUACCGCCGUCGUCAGCUUACCCUGUGAAGGAACAAUAGUAAGCAAAAUGAGCAAAGCUCAAAACGUCAGGUCGAGGUGUAGCGUACGAGGUGGAAAGAAAUGGGCUACAUUUUCUACCACAGAACACCACGAACAGUGCCCUGAAACAAGCACUUGAAGGAGGAUUUAGCAGUAAAAAGAAAACAGUGUGUUCUUUUGAAUCUGGCUCUGAGGCGCGCACACACCGCCCGUCACCCUCA